CUUAAUUAUAGGCAUUAUGUGCGCCCUCAAUUAUGCUCUAGCCAUAGCAUCUUUAACUCUUCACACUCAACAAGUCCUCUUGAUACCAAAGGAACGCUGCCUUUUUUGGACAAAACAUCAGCUGUACGGUCAUCACGGAAAAAUGCUUGUAUUAUUACAAACAAAUAUUCUCAAUUACAGUCUGAGUGGCGUUUUCCUCAAAUGAAUGCUAGUGCUGUCUGCUUUUCAGACUGGCUGAGUAACAGAAGUAUUUUGCUCCCUUCCCAGAUUGUACCUACUUCUUCCCUCGAGGUCUGACGCUGUGGGGCAGCUCUCCUGGUUUCGGCCUAGUGGUGCCAGCUGAUAUCAGCUGAGCAUCCAACCCCAAAGGAGCUCUUUUGGAACUGUUUUGCUCUGUGUUUCCUUACCCAGCAGCUACCACGAAGGUGGGGGACUGCUCUGAUGACACCCACUGGCUGCCAACUGUGGUUCUCCCAGACACACGCGAUGCUGUAAGAAAGCUGCACUACAUUGGUAGAGCACUGGACCUGGACAAGCUCAAAAAGCAGCCCCACGAGAACCUAUUGAGAUUCAACAAGGCCAAGUGCAAGAUGUUCAACUUGGGUGACAGCAGUCCCAGAUAUGAGUACAGACUGGGACAAGAGCUCAUUGGGAACAGUCCUGCACAGAAAGACUGGGAGGUCCUGAUGGACAAAAAGCUGGACACAAGUCAGCAGUGUGCUCUUGCCACCCAGAAGGCCAACAGUAUCUUGGGCUGCAUCAAAAGAGGGGUGGCCAGCCGGGCAAGGGAGGUGAUCGUCUCCCAUCUACUUUGCCCUUCUAGAGCUCCAUCUGGAGUACUGUGUCCAGAUCUGGAAGUACAGGAAGGAUAUGGAGCUGUUGGAGCUGGUCCAGAGGAGGGCCAGGAAGAUGAUCAGGGGUCAGAAGCAUCUCUCCUGUGAAAAAAGGUUGAGGGAGUUGGGCUUGUUUAGCUUGGAGAAGAGAAGGCUCUGAGGAGAACUCAUUGAAGCAUCCCAGUACUUGAAGGGAGCUUGUAAGCAGGAUGGGGACUGACUUUUUACAUGGUUUGAUAGUGAUAGGACGAGAGAGAAUGGCUUUAAACUAAAAUAGCUGAAAUUUAGGUUGGAUGUUGGGAAGAAAUUCUUUACCCAGAGGAUGGUGAGGCACUGGCACAGGCUGCCAAGAGAAGCUGUGAGUGCCCCAUCCCUGGAGACAUUCAAAGUCAUGUUGGAUGGGGCCCUGGAUAGGCCCCCAGCCUUGAGCUGGUGGGUGGCAGCCUUGCCUGCAGCAGGGGUGCAGAAACUAGACAAUCUGUAAGGUCCCUUCCAACUUAAGCCAUUCUGUGAUUCUAUGAUUCCAUGACAGUAGUUUAUUUUCCAAACAGUCAUUCACAGGUUUAUCCACGUGGGAACAGAAGACUUCACCAAGAAAAUGCAGUGUCUCAGUGGGAGCAACAUGCCUCAUGAAUUAUUUGGGGUUGUAGUUUUAAAAACAUGUAUGUGAUGUAAAAGUCUCAACCCCAUUGCUUUAAGUGCUGAAGAGCAAGCUGCUCAGAGGCCUGAAUGAUGACUGUUGUGUACAUUGCCAUGCCUAUCUUCAGGCUCAGCACUCAAGCUGGUGUUUUCUGACUGGAUGCAAUGAGAGGGAAGCUAAGGCGUCCAGUUCACAGAAGGUAUCUAUCUCCAUACAAGUACCCUGUAACAAUAUAAUGGAAGAGGUUCCAAGAAGCACAUAUCAAAUAUUUAGGAAACAAUUUGCUGCUACUUUUGCUUCUGUUUCUGUUUUUAAUUGAACUGGUCCUGCGCACUAAACCCUUAAGAGGGUUUAAUCUCAAGAAGUUUAUAUAGUUUAUAUAGAAGUUUAUAUAUAGCACAGGAUGCUCUGCUCAGGAUGUGCCUCAUGCAUCACACACCUGUUUGCAAGCCAUGUUUGAGCACAUGCCAGUAUACACAGGGCAAUGGAUCCCACAGCCUCACCAGGCCCAGGCAGGGAUAAGGUGCAGCACAGAAGGCAACCCCAUGUUUUGCUCUCCCUGUUGGCCUCUGUCCUAGCUGCUGAAUUUUCUGUGGUUUUGAGCAACAGUGGAAGAUCUGGAUUGAAGACCAGUAAUGAGGAGUAUUGUUCUCUCAAGCUGCUGCAGAACUAUCCUGUGAAGAAUUACGGCACACUGUGGGAUGGUGCAUGGAUCUAUUUUCAGAUAGUCGUUAUGGGGAUCUAAUUCCUUCCAGACAAAAAAGUCCCCAUCUCAGUGGCUACUUGCAGUGAGCUGUAAGUCGUACUGUGAAAAGCCCAGCACUAUGAAGCAAGACACCAGCUACUUACUCACUUCCCAUCACUGAAGUUGUACUGCCCUAUACACUGAGCUCACACUUGCCUUGUCACUGCAGACUCUGUUGACUCACUAAGGAGCAGAUCAUGAAAUCCCAAAGGAACAUCUAGGAGGAUGUCUCCUUGCUGUCCGACAGCCACGGUACCUCAUAAAGAUGAGAAGAAACUCUGUAGUGUGCCUCCCUUUGUCCCUUAUUUCUCUUUUGCAGAGUAUUCCAUGAUGACCCUAGCAGAGACCCUUUUAUGCUUUUGAGUAAAAUUCCCACUGUUCAGCCGGCUUUUAAACGUUUAUUUCAAGGAUAAUUUUAAGUGUAGGUUUUCAUUAUUAGAGACAGAAACUAGGCAUGCGAAUCCAUUCAUUACUGUGCUCUGACUUUUCCAAAGUAUCUCCCAAUCUACAUUAAUCAGAAGUAAUGAGAGGAGACAAGGGUUAGAAAAAUGUGUUUCCAUGAAGAGUUUCUUCAUGAUUUUUCUGCUGUAAAUUCCAUAUGUAAUGUAAACUCAUGCAAAAUGCCUCCAACGGAAUGCCAAAAUGACAUUUUUGGAUGAUCCCUGACUCCGUAAUGCUCCAAGGCACUCAGUGCCCCAGAGCAAAAACAAGGACAGAGGUGCCGAGGGCAAAGGCUGGGAUGUGGACAUCUUAGAAGGCUCCAG
ensembl:lncRNA